rnacentral:rRNA from 1 species
UGCGUAGGCGGGGCAAUUAGUCAGUGGUGAAAUCCUGCGGCUUAACCGUAGAACUGCCAUUGAUACUGUUGCCCUUGAGUAUAGUUGAGGUGGGCGGAAUGUGUAAUGUAGCGGUGAAAUGCAUAGAGAUUACACAGAACACCAAUUGCGAAGGCAGCUCACUCAGCUAUAACUGACGCUGAGGCACGAAAGCGUGGGGAGCGAACAGGAUUAGAUACCCUGGUAGUCC